AGGUAAAAGGGUCGUAGGGAGACAGCCAGGAGCUCGAUGUCAGGGGUGCACAGUUUCUCUCUCACUACAACUGUGGAGCACCAGCGGGUGUUUACAUAGAGACACACACCGCCACCAUGUUGUUUACCGGUGCGCUCACUGUCCCGGUCGAGUCUGAGAGGGGGUGCGAAUCCAUCAAUAUGCGUCGUGCUUUCUUCAUCGUUCUUAUUUAACCACGUUUCGGUGAAAGCAAGAAUAGAGGCACUUCUGUAUUCAUGCAUGUGGUUAACGUUGGCUUGUAACUCAUCCAUUUUGUUGCGGAGGGAGCGCACAUUGGCCAAGAUGAUAGACGGAAGUGGCCGUUGUUUAAAUUUCUCCCGUUUAAGCCUAGCUUUAAUUCCUCCUUUUUUCUUGCCCCUUCUAGUUACCUUUUUUUGAUUGUGUGCGCUGGAUGAAUUCUUGCGGAUUAUUUCAUCGGGAAAAGUAUCCGUGGUGCAGGAUAACUACAGAAAUCAUCAUUUUUCAGAUUAUGGCGUUUGUGAGGGCUGUGUGGCAGGAGGGCGAUAAAGUUUUUGAAGGGGUGCUGCCAAUAAAUUGGAUUGACGAAGAAAGGAAAGUCCUCAGAUGGCCAAAAAAGGGACGGGCGUCGGCCUGGAAAAACAAAACGAAUCCAGCUGGAGACUGGCUGGACUUUCCCCUCAUAAAAAUAAAAUUUACUUCAGAAAGUGAAAAGGAGUGCACUGAGUUUAAUUAUACAUCGUCAGCACAGACAGAUUCAGAAGACCCUCCAGAACUGGGGAAAAGGGCAAUAAAAAGAAAGCAAUUUUCUGAUUGUAUUGAAGAACCAGAACUAUCAGAUGAAGAACCCAGACCCAAAAAAAGCAAAAGCACAGGACUGCUCAGCAAGCCACCAAAGCCACCAAAUAUGACUAAUGAGACACCCAGUGUCAGAAACCAGGACCAGACCUCUUUGGAUAAUACCCCAACUCUAGAUUCAUCAUAUACCCACCCCCAGAGGAGCCCCUCCCCCUCCAAUCAUUCUGAUGUUGGGGGUGAGUCCUGGCAGGAUAGCUCACCUUCAUCUCCAAGGAACCAGUCCAUAAGGAGCCCCUCUCCCUCAUCCAGUCAUUUUGGGAACCACAGAGGAGGCUCCCAUUCUGGUGGUCCUCCUAGAGCCUCAAACAGCCAGUCCAUAGGGACCCCCUCUCCCUCAUCCAGUCAUUCCAGGAACCACAGAGGAGGCUCUCGUCCUGGUGGUUCUUCUCGAGCCUCAAACGGCCAGUCCAUAAGGACCCCCUCUCCCUCAUCCAGUCAUUCUGGGAACCACAGAGGAGGCUCCCAUUCUGGUGGUCCUCCUAGAGCCUCAAACAGCCAGUCCAUAGGGACCCCCUCUCCCUCAUCCAGUCAUUCCAGGAACCACAGAGGAGGCUCUCGUCCUGGUGGUUCUUCUCGAGCCUCAAACGGCCAGUCCAUAAGGACCCCCUCUCCCUCAUCCAGUCAUUCUGGGAACCACAGAGGAGGCUCCCAUUCUGGUGGUCCUCCUAGAGCCUCAAACAGCCAGUCCAUAAGGACCCCCUCUCCCUCAUCCAGUCAUUCCGGGAACCACAGAGGAGGCUCUCGUCCUGGUGGUUCUUCUCGAGCCUCAAACGGCCAGUCCAUAAGGACCCCCUCUCUCUCAUCCAGUCAUUCCAGGAACCACAGAGGAGGCUCCCAUUCUGGUGGUUCUUCCCGAAGUUCAAACAGCCAGUCCAUGAGGAGCCCCUCUCCCUCACCCAGGAACCACAGAGGCUCCCGUCCUGGUGGUUCUCCUUUAGCUUCAAACAGCAUCAGGGCCCGCUCCCCCAGAGAGAGGAACAGUGUAUUCCCCAUGGAAAAUUACAAAUUCCAGAGAUGUGUGAAGAAAAAAUUGGUGGAGAUCAUGGAGGUGGUGAAAAGAAUUGAGGCGGACCACCAAAGGGGAGGGACAUACCUAUUAAAAACCAUGUCGACCAUGGACGAGGUCCUCAUGUUAGAAGACAAGCUCAAUCAGGAGGAGAGACAGGCUCUGAUGGCACAGUUAAGCAAGGUCGGGGGGAAGGACAUAAAAGACUGUGUUGCAAAAAUUUUGAACAGAUUGAUGACGAAUGGCCUGAUGUCCCAUUUCAAUAUGAUGGGCCAUGGUGGGAAGACAGCUUUUAAAGCAAUGACUCUCUAUGGCGUCCUAACAGCUGCUGUUAAAAAAUGGAGUGAAAGGGCCACCGACCAUGACAUCGGGAGAGCUGUGGCAGAUCAAUUAAAACAUGCGCCUGGACGCUCCGGUGGUGGAGGCAAGAACAAUUAAUAAAGGGA
ensembl:lncRNA